GCCGCUAUCGUCUAGUCCGGUCCAGGACGCUAGGUUCUCAUCCUAGUAACCCGGGUUCGAAUCCCGGUAGCGGUA
rnacentral:tRNA from 1 species